AGAGUUUGAUCAUGGCUCAGAUUGAACGCUGGCGGAAUGCUUUACACAUGCAAGUCGAACGGCAGCACGGGGCAACCUGGUGGCGAGUGGCGAACGGGUGAGUAAUAUAUCGGAACGUGCCCAAUCGUGGGGGAUAACGUAGCGAAAGUUACGCUAAUACCGCAUACGAUCUACGGAUGAAAGCGGGGGAUCGCAAGACCUCGCGCGAAUGGAGCGGCCGAUAUCAGAUUAGGUAGUUGGUGGGGUAAAGGCUCACCAAGCCAACGAUCUGUAGCUGGUCUGAGAGGACGACCAGCCACACUGGAACUGAGACACGGUCCAGACUCCUACGGGAGGCAGCAGUGGGGAAUUUUGGACAAUGGGCGCAAGCCUGAUCCAGCCAUUCCGCGUGCAGGAUGAAGGCCUUCGGGUUGUAAACUGCUUUUGUACGGAACGAAACGGUCUGCCCUAAUACGGUGGGCCAAUGACGGUACCGUAAGAAUAAGCACCGGCUAACUACGUG
rnacentral:rRNA from 1 species